CCUACGGGAGGCAGCAGUAGGGAAUAUUGCUCAAUGGGGGAAACCCUGAAGCAGCAACGCCGCGUGGAGGAUGAAGGUUUUAGGAUUGUAAACUCCUUUUGUUAGAGAAGAUUAUGACGGUAACUAACGAACAAGCACCGGCUAACUCCGUGCCAGCAGCCGCGGGAAUACGGAGGGUGCAAGCGUUACCCGGAUUCACUGGGCGUAAAGGUUGCGUAGGCGGGGUAAUAAGUCAGAUGUGAAAGCCUGUAGCUUAACUACAGAACUGCAUUUGAAACUGUGACUCUGGAGUGUGGGAGAGGUAGGUGGAAUUCUUGGUGUAGGAGGAAAAUGCGUAGAGAUCAAGAGGAAUACUCAUUGCGAAGGCGAGCUGCUGGAACUUUACUGACGCUGAUGCACGAAGGCGUGGGGAGCAAACGGGAUUAGAUACCCUAGUAGUC
rnacentral:rRNA from 1 species